rnacentral:rRNA from 1 species
GAUGAACGCUGGCGGCGUGCCUAAUACAUGCAAGUCGAGCGAACAGAUGAGGAGCUUGCUCCUCUGACGUUAGCGGCGGACGGGUGAGUAACACGUGGAUAACCUACCUAUAAGACUGGUAUAACUUCGGGAAACCGGAGCUAAUACCGGAUAAUAUAUUGAACCGCAUGGUUCAAUAGUGAAAGACGGUUUUGCUGUCACUUAUAGAUGGAUCCGCGCCGCAUUAGCUAGUUGGUAAGGUAACGGCUUACCAAGGCGACGAUGCGUAGCCGACCUGAGAGGGUGAUCGGCCACACUGGAACUGAGACACGGUCCAGACUCCUACGGGAGGCAGCAGUAGGGAAUCUUCCGCAAUGGGCGAAAGCCUGACGGAGCAACGCCGCGUGAGUGAUGAAGGUCUUCGGAUCGUAAAACUCUGUUAUUAGGGAAGAACAAAUGUGUAAGUAACUAUGCACGUCUUGACGGUACCUAAUCAGAAAGCCACGGCUAACUACGUG